rnacentral:rRNA from 1 species
UACGAAGGGUGCAAGCGUUAAUCGGAAUUACUGGGCGUAAAGCGCACGUAGGCGGAUUGGUCAGUUAGGGGUGAAAUCCCAGGGCUCAACCCUGGAACUGCCUUUAAUACUGCCAAUCUAGAGUCCGAGAGAGGUGAGUGGAAUUCCGAGUGUAGAGGUGAAAUUCGUAGAUAUUCGGAGGAACACCAGUGGCGAAGGCGGCUCACUGGCUCGGUACUGACGCUGAGGUGCGAAAGCGUGGGGAGCAAACAGG